rnacentral:lncRNA from 1 species
CGAUCCGUGAGACUCUACUAAACUAGCUCAUAACUCGUGAGUCUAAGCAACCUAGGCUCUGAUACCAACUUGUCACGAUCCCAAACCCGAUCGUGAUGGACCCCGGCCGCGAGGCUGGGCAAGCCCGACCAAACCACAACCAAGAACGACAUUCUAGCCAAAAAGAAACGAUUUAAGGUAACACAUCAAACUUAAUAUCAACUCCCAUCCAGGGAUAGACGAUACCAAUGGAAAUACAAUUGAGCAAGAAGAAUAAUCCCCCCAAAACCAAGGGGUCACAUGUACAGAGCCUCUACAAAAUAGGAUACAAUUCUAAACGGAAGUGGUACAAAGUCUGACAAAAUAGCAAAAAGAAGAUGACUGAUAGAGAUAGAGUAAGUGGUCCUGCGAACGCUGGGCAGCUGCCUCAAUGCUCUGAAUAGCUCGUCAAAUCAACGGCAAAAGUACUA